UGAGUCAGCCAGGCGGCCGCGUCACCGGUAACCAACCGGUGCCGAGGAACGUCCGGGCUCCGCAGGGCAGGGUGGUGGGUAACGCCCACCCGGGGUGACCCGCGGGAAAGUGCCACAGAAAGCAGACCGCCGGCGGGCUCCGGCCCGCCGGUAAGGGUGAAAGGGUGGUGCAAGAGACCACCAGCACGGCGGGUGACCGUCGUGGCUCGGCAAACCCCACCCGGAGCAAGACCAGACAGCAGACGUGAUCAGGGCUGCCCGCCCGAGUCUGCGGGUAGGUCGCUGGAGGCGUGCGGCAACGCACGCCGUAGAUGGAUGGCCGCCACCGGGGCGCUGGCGACGGCGCCCCGGGACAGAACCCGGCGUACCGGCUGACUCAUCCG
rnacentral:RNase_P_RNA from 1 species